UAGUGGUUAGAGUGUUAGGCUAGGAUCCAGGAGGCCCAGUUGCAAAGCACCACUCUGCCAUGAAGCAAACUGAGUGACCUUGGGCUAGUCAAUCUAACGGAUCUUAUGGGGUUAUGCUGAAGAUAAAAAGAGAAAGCUCAGUGUCGCCCUGAGCUCUUGAGCAGGAUAAAAAGACAUUUCCUCUUGUAUUCAGAUAGCUGUCAGUGCUUUCUGGCCUGAACUCAGCCCUGCUGAUCUUACAUCUGAAUCAAAACAUCACCAUUUGUAUCUUUGGCAGAGGCUGGGAAGCUUAACCGUGCACUCAGUCAGCUGCAGCAGGGUGUUGUAGUCAGGUGAUAAAAAUAGAGGUGGGAAACCCAGAACUAUUGGAAGAAUGCAGAAAUGGCCAUUUAAACGCCUUCAUGAAAAUUGUGUCCACAGUUCCUGUGAAAGGCUUAGAAGUUAGAGAGAACAUCUUAAAAUAGCAAAAAUGGGACUCUCUGCUGGAAGUACUUUGAAGGGUUAAAGCCAGAAGGAAAGCCAGAAGGAGUUCAGACAGAGUUCAGUCCCUCCCUCUCUGGUUGCCAAGGGAAUUGAUUGCAGCAGGCUCCAGACUGUCUGGCUUGCUGGACCACUGCUGAAGGCAAUGAAGAAGGCUUUUAACGACCACCCGUGCGUUUAGGGGCCUCCCGAACAGCUUGCUUGCGAACAGCA